rnacentral:rRNA from 1 species
UGGGGAAUUUUGGACAAUGGGGGAAACCCUGAUCCAGCCAUCCCGCGUGUGCGAUGAAGGCCUUCGGGUUGUAAAGCACUUUUUGCAGGAAAGAAACGUCAUGGGUUAAUACCCCGUGAAACUGACGGUACCUGCAGAAUAAGCACCGGCUAACUACGUGCCAGCAGCCGCGGUAAUACGUAGGGUGCAAGCGUUAAUCGGAAUUACUGGGCGUAAAGCGUGCGCAGACGGUUCGGAAAGAAAGAUGUGAAAUCCCAGAGCUCAACUUUGGAACUUCAUUUUUAACUACCGGGCUAGAGUGUGUCAGAGGGAGGUAGAAUUCCGCGUGUAGCAGUGAAAUUCAUAGAUAUGCGGAGGAACACCGAUAGCGAAGGCAGCCUCCUGGGAUAACACUGACGCUCAUGCACGAAAGCGUGGGGAGCAAACAGG